AAGUCGUAACAAGGUUUCCGUAGGUGAACCUGCGGAAGGAUCAUUAACACGUAUCCAACGUUAAACCCCCCUGUGAACCUUCAUUGUGCUCCCACGCUUUGUUAGAAAGUGGCAAUCCCUGGUAAAUCAUCGCCGAACAGUUUUGAUUCAGGGACUUCUGCGAAGAGGGUGAAUGAGGCGAGGCAAUGGACCUGGCAUUCCUCUGCUUGUUGGUGUCUGAAAGUGUCACUAACUCUGUACGAAUGGCGCAGUCGGCGACCGGGUCCCUGAGCUCUGCUCCCUAAUAACCUUUGCAUGAAAACGGGCCUGCGCUUAAUUGUGCGGCCACCAAACUCGAACAACUGUUAACAAUGGAUAUCUUGGUUCUC
rnacentral:misc_RNA from 1 species